rnacentral:rRNA from 1 species
GAGUUUGAUCAUGGCUCAGGAUGAACGCCGGCGGUGUGCCUAAUACAUGCAAGUCGUACGCACUGGCCCAACUGAUUGAUGGUGCUUGCACCUGAUUGACGAUGGAUCACCAGUGAGUGGCGGACGGGUGAGUAACACGUAGGUAACCUGCCCCGGAGCGGGGGAUAACAUUUGGAAACAGAUGCUAAUACCGCAUAACAACAAAGGCCACAUGGCUUUUGUUUGAAAGAUGGCUUUGGCCAUCACUCUGGGAUGGACCUGCGGUGCAUUAGCUAGUUGGUAAGGUAACGGCUUACCAAGGCGACGAUGCAUAGCCGAGUCGAGAGACUGAUCGGCCACAAUGGAACUGAGACACGGUCCAUACUCCUACGGGAGGCAGCAGUAGGGAAUCUUCCACAAUGGGCGCAAGCUUGAUGGAGCAACACCGCGUGAGUGAAGAAGGGUUUCGGCUCGUAAAGCUCUGUGUUGGAGAAGAACGUGCGUGAGAGU